UGGCUUAGAUGGUAAAGCAUCUGCCUGCAAUGCGGGAGACCUGGGUUCGAUCCCAG
rnacentral:tRNA from 1 species